ACAAGAAGCGUACACCCAAGUGGCUCCCACACCGCGUGAAGUCACCGCGCUCCGCCCCCUCGACCCUCCUGCGCCUGCAAGCUCGAAGCGACCCCUCAGGUGACCGUCACCGCCAUCCAUCUCUUCGCCGCUGCAACCAGGAGGAGGAGAAGAGAAGAAAGAGGGUGUCGUUCUGCCACGCCCGCGAUUUCCUGUUCUUCAGCAUGCGUGGCACCCUCCGCUCCUUCGAUUCCCUCCACUUCGACAGAUACCCUCUCCGUGGCUUCGAGCGCGACGCCAUAAGAUAUUAGAAGAGAACUGAAGAUUGACCCUUUGUACUCCUUGAGACAGCACCUGUUGAUAAUGAAGUGUUCCAAAGACAGCACCUGAAGAUUCAUCCUGUGCAUUGCAACUUAAGACCAACUGUGUUUCUUCAUUUGAAUGUCACAUGUAAACCAUGAUUCACUCUUGUGUGAUAAGUUUAACGAAGAGUGUCCCCAGUGUCAUCAUCCUGAACUUGAAUACUAUACCAAACAGCUACGUUCAGCUGAUGAAGAGCAGAUGGUCUUUUACGACUGUCCGCAAUGCAGACACAAGUUUUCAAUCAACACAUAAUGGAACAUUUUUCUUUCAUUUUGGAUAUAAACAAUUUUCAUCGCUUUACAUUCUUUCUUUAUGUACCAUCUAAUUCUUCAUAUCUAAGAGAAUCUUUGCUAUCGCAUGGUAAUGGUGUUGUCUUUUAUGUCUUUUUUAUUUUUGUAUUUUACAGGUUAAUAGGUUUUCACACUUACAAGGAUCUUUGCUUUCGCAAAACAAUGGUGCUUUUUUCAUGCUGCUUCUUUUUGUUACACUGGGAGUAGCUUGUAACUCAUAUAUGGCGACCUUGCUGUAGCUUUGUAUCUCUUGUUGGUGAGCAAACCAUGCGUUGUGGCUA